GGAAUUGUUCGCAAUGGGCGCAAGCCUGACGACGCAACGCCGCGUGGAGGAUGAAGAAUUUCGGUUCGUAAACUCCUUUCGACCGAGAUGAACACCCAGGGACUUAAUACGUCCUUGGGCUGACAGUAUCGAGAGAAGAAGCCCCGGCUAACUCUGUGCCAGCAGCCGCGGUAAUACAGGGGGGGCAAGCGUUGUUCGGAAUUACUGGGCGUAAAGGGUUCGUAGGUGGCCAACUAAGUCAGACGUGAAAUCCCUCGGCUUAACUGGGGAACUGCUUCUGAUACUGGUUGGCUUGAGUGCAGGAGAGGAAUGCGGAAUUCCAGGUGUAGCGGUGAAAUGCGUAGAUAUCUGGAGGAACACCGGUGGCGAAGGCGGCAUUCUGGACUGUAACUGACACUGAGGAACGAAAGCCAGGGGAGCAAA
rnacentral:rRNA from 1 species